CCUACGGGAGGCAGCAGUGGGGAAUCUUGCACAAUGGGCGAAAGCCUGAUGCAGCGACGCCGCGUGGGGGAUGAAGCAUCUCGGUGUGUAAACCCCUUUCGACCCGGAAGAAUGCCUCGCAAGAGGACGGACGGUACGGGUAUAAGAAGCCCCGGCUAACUACGUGCCAGCAGCCGCGGUAAGACGUAGGGGGCCAGCGUUGUUCGGAAUUACUGGGUGUAAAGGGUUCGUAGGCGGUGUGGCAAGUCGGGAGUGAAAUCUCUGGGCUUAACUCAGAGGCUGCUUCCGAAACUGCUGUGCUUGAGUGUGGGAGAGGCGCGUGGAAUUGCAGGUGUAGCGGUGAAAUGCGUAGAUAUCUGCAGGAACACCCGUGGCGAAAGCGGCGCGCUGGACCACAACUGACGCUGAGGAACGAAAGCUAGGGGAGCAAACAGGAUUAGAUACCCUGGUAGUCCUAGCCCUAAACGAUCAGGACUUGGGGUGGCGCCCGUUCGGGCGUCGUCCCGGAGCUAACGCGUUAAGUCCUGCACCUGGGGAGUACGGUCGCAAGACUGAAACUCAAAGGAAUUGACGG
rnacentral:rRNA from 1 species